GAGCCUUUAUAGUAACAACAUUACAGAGCCCUUUAUAGUAAGUAACAACAUUACAGAGCCUUUAUAUAACAACAUUACAGAGCCUUUAUGUAACAACAUUACAGAUAAUUUAUGUAACAACAUUACAGAGAAUCUAUGUAACAACAUUACAGAGCCUUUAUGUAACAACAUUACAGAGCCUUUAUGUAACAACAUUACAGAGAAUUU
rnacentral:lncRNA from 1 species